UGUUUGAACUCCAUUCAUGUGUCAUGCUAGGAAAGGAGUGGUAUUAUCCCAGUCUUCCAGCUUAAACAUUUCACAACACUAAAUCCAUACUCUUUCUCCUUGUGUCUUACAAUUCUCCAAGCUAGAUCCCUAAGCAUAUUCCAUAAUCAGUGGGAAAGGGAGCUGAGCACAUCUGCACAGCCUCCUGUUUCGUCAGAUGUCUGUAAUCCCAGCUACUUGGGAAGCUGAGGUAGAUGGAUCGCAGGAGCACAGGAGUUCAAGACCACAGUGAGCUAAGAUGGAGCCACUACAAGCCAGGGAAACAAAGCAAGACCCUGUCUCUACUGUCUGUAAGGAAAAAACGAGAGAGAGAGAGAGAAGGAAACCAGAAACUGAUAUGUGUACAGAAUGUGUCCUAAAAUAGAUGUUGGCACACUGCUUUCCCACUGAGCAGACAAAAGAAGCUGUUACGGUAAAUAUUUCCAGGAGGCAUGACUCCUUCGGCUUCAAGACCAUCUAUUGCCACUUUUAACUGAUUAAAGUGAUUGCCUGGGACUGCUGGAUCUAUUCCAACUCUGUAUAAAUAUAGUCAGAACAUA